rnacentral:rRNA from 1 species
GACGAACGCUGGCGGCGUGCCUAACACAUGCAAGUCGAACGGAGAAGUUGAUUUCGGUUGACUUCUUAGUGGCGAACGGGUGAGUAACGCGUGAACAACCUGACCUCAAGAGGGGGAUACCAACGAGAAAUCGUUGUUAAUACCGCAUAAGACCACAACGUCGCAUGGCGAAGGGGUCAAAGGAGCAAUCCGCUUGAGGAGGGGUUCGCGUCCCAUUAGGUAGUAGGCGGGGUAACGGCCCACCUAGCCGGCGAUGGGUAGCCGAGCUGAGAGGCUGAACGGCCACACUGGAACUGAGACACGGUCCAGACUCCUACGGGAGGCAGCAGUGGGGAAUAUUGGGCAAUGGGCGCAAGCCUGACCCAGCAACGCCGCGUGAGGGAAGAAGGUUUUCGGAUUGUAAACCUCUGUCGCAGAUGACGAAGGAAGUGACGGUAAUCUGUGAGGAAGCCCCGGCUAACUACGUG